rnacentral:rRNA from 2 species
AAACUUGCCCCGAGAUGAGUUCUCCCUGAGACUUUAAGUCUCCUGAAGGAACGUUGAAGACGACGACGUUGAUAGGCCGGGUGUGUAAGCGCAGCGAUGCGUUGAGCUAACCGGUACUAAUGAACCGUGAGGCUUAACCUUACAACGCCGAAG